rnacentral:rRNA from 1 species
AUCCAGACUCCUACGGGAGGCAGCAGUGGGGGAUAUUACACAAUGGGGGAAACCCUGAUGCAGCGACGCCGCGUGGGCGAAGAAGUAUUUCGGUAUGUAAAGCCCUAUCAGCAGGGAAGAAGAAAUGACGGUACCUGAGUAAGAAGCACCGGCUAAAUACGUGCCAGCAGCCGCGGUAAUACGUAGGGGGCAAGCGUUAUCCGGAUUUACUGGGUGUAAAGGGGGCGCGGACGGCGAUGCAAGCCAGGAGUGAAAGCCCGGGGCCCAACCCCGGGACUGCUCUUGGAACUGCGUGGCUGGAGUGCAGGAGGGGCAGGCGGAAUUCCUGGUGUAGCGGUGAAAUGCGUAGAUAUCAGGAGGAACACCGGUGGCGAAGGCGGCCUGCUGGACUGCAACUGACGUUGAGGCCCGAAAGCGUGGGGAGCAAACAGGAUUAGAUACCCCUGUAU